GGAUUGGAACUGGAUGAGCUUUAAGGUCCCUUCCAACCCAAACCAGUCAGUGAUUUAGCUGAUGUAACAGACAUAUAAGAAAUGAAGGACUGAGGAUGGAAUCCCCAAAAUCUUAGUUCUUACAAGUUAGGUAUCUCUUAACAGCAUUAUUUGUGUGAUGGGCUCUCUGAUAACUGCAUGGGCUACUGCUGCUGGAGCAGCAACUCUGACUUUGCCAGAGGUUUUGUUCUUUUCCUUUUUCAGCAGACUCUGUAUGAAGACAGUUCUGGGUGAUUUGUAAAUAUAUAGUUUGUGUUGGCAAACUGGGAUUAACAAAAACUGCUUUCUGUUGCCAAGAAAUAUGAAGUUUCUCUUAGCAUAGUAUUUGAAAUCGUUGGCAAUAUGUGCGGAAAACAUACCCGGUUAGUGCAAGACCGCUUGCUCUGUACAGGGACUUAGGGCAUCUCUUAGAUGUACGUCCUGUGGAGAAACAGCGUGCUCUCCUGAGUGUUUUUAGACUUCAGAUUUAUGCAGUCUGAGGUGGAGCUGCUAUGGACUCUAAUGGAGGGAGUAUUUAUCUUCAUUUUUGCCAUUACUGACAGGGAAGCAGAGGCUUGUAGAGUUGGUCUGCAGAAAUAAAGGACGUACAGCGGAAACUGAGCCAUGUUCUCAAGAUGGAAAUCUGGAGGGUUUGUUCCCUUGCCUUUGUUUCUGUGCCUUAUGAGCGACUCGUGUAAGGAAACAACACAUUCUGUGCUUUCUCCAGAGCAACUUCACUGUUAGUCUGUAAGGGCAGAGUUCAUUCACGGAAAGGUAGGUACAGAUACCCAGUGUCAUCUAAGAUGCCUUAAGACAUCCACACACCUGGCAGAUAGGAUGCAGGUUAUAGGAGGACCUGCAGCCCUCUGAAGCAGUAUCUGGGGGCCAGUCCCGAUACUCCAGUGCCUAAAAUGCCGAUAAACCUACAUGUUGAGGCAGCAAGAUCCCAGUUCAGGUUUUGUAUGAACACUAUUGCCAAGCUGAUCAGGCAGCUGCAACAAGCUGAGCUGUAGUUACAUCUAGACAAAUUAAGUAUGUGUUUACACAGAUUAGAUGUGAUUCUGUAUGAAGUUUCUCCCUGUGUUUGUUGUGCUUUGCUCCAUAAGUCAUUGCAAUGUUCCUUUAGCUAGUGAGAUGUCUUUAUUUGAAAUGAAGAAAAUAUUUGCUAUGGAGGAAAUAUAAACAAGUUGAAUUCUAAUGAACAGCUUUAUGUUAAAUACACAGGACAGUUAUUCAAAUCUCCUCUAUGAACCAGAAGAGCUGGAAGUGCUGUUGCUAAGCUUGCUUUGCUGUGUAGCUGUGUGUCCUUCCUAGAUACUCUUAUUUCAUUAUUCCCUUUCUGAGCUGUGUUCUGGGACUUCAAUACAAAAGAAAGAAGGGAGGGGGAGGCAGAAUUUGUGGAGGAGAACAAAAGCCCUUCAAAUAACUCUUUUAGACACUUUUCACACUCUAAUUGAAUAAAUUGUACAGAAAAUCCUAUGUCUGUAGUAUGCAACUCCCCAGGUGCUCUCAGCAACUAUAUCCACAGCUGUUUAUAUUCAAACUAGGUAAUUUAAUACUUAUAUCUGUAUAUAUUGUACAGUGCCUUUUAAUAUCAAAUGGCUGUGAGUUUUGACUUGGAACAAAGCAAUCACCCUGUGAAGAGACACUGCUUCUCUCCUUGGACCUUCCUGUUAAUCUCUGAAUAGCUAAGCAACAUUAAAAAUAGACCAUUAUGCUGAGACAUAAGCUCCGUUUUAAACCAGUGCGUAAUGUCACUAACAUGACAUAUAUGCACAAAAAAAUGUAUGUAUCAUGUCAGUUGGCAAAUCAGCUACUGCCUGGUGCUCCCCAAGGGGAGGGAUUCAUGCAUGAGGCUGCCAAAACAAGGGUCAUGAUUCAGUUUGGCAGGGGCAUAGCCUGGACACAUUUUGCUUUAAUUGCUCCUUGUCAUGUGAGAUGUAGUCCUGGGUGACACUGUGGCUAGAAUAAUACAGAAAACAAACACACACAGUCUCAUACAUGCCAGAAUCCCUAAAUGCUCUGUUUAUUUUGCCAGCCAUCAUUAAAAACAAAAAUAAUUAGUGUUUCAUUUUUCUCCCACUUUUUUCCCAUCAUUUCUUCCUGAGUGAUGCAGGAGUCAACGCAAAGAAACCACAUUAAAACAGGAUCAUUUUUCCUGGCUGAUUUCUGAUCUUACAGCCAAACUGCUUGUGCCUCACUUUGUAACUUCAUCAAUGCAGGGAAGAAAGGCUAAAGAUACUUCUUAAGUCUCACUGUAAAGCCUGAUGGCUAGGAAUGUCCUACAGUUUAUUCACAGCGGGAAGCGGUGUAAUUGUCAGCUCCAUGUUUCUCCCCUAAAGAGCUGUUCUCUGGUGAAGGCAGGGAAAAAAACUGCGAACAAGAGUUUACAAAUUUGGCAUAUGGUAGAGCAACUGCAGAGGCUGAAAAUGACUCGGCAGCUACAAACCACUAGACAGAACGGCGGUCUGCAUGCCAUGAGACCUCUCCUUUUCCAACUGUACUGCCUACAGAAUAGGUUGGAUUUACUGGAGGUGCAGUUUCUCGAACAGGGUAGGCUGGGGAAGAAGAAACUGCAGGUACUAUGGGGUGGCUUUGCUGGAGAUAAGGAAAGUUAUAGGGAAGGCUGCAGGGAAUGGACAGUGGAAGGAUGGGUUUUUUUAUUAAUGCAUGACUGAGAUACAUUCGCAGAUAAUGCAUAAGGCUUCCAGGAGGCAAUCCAAUGGUCUGUAUAUUAUUACAGUGAUCAUAUAGUCCCUUUACUGAGCGCAGAUCUCAUAAAAUGAUGCAAACUGACCAUGAACGACUGCGGAGGAUUCCACUGUCAUUACGGCACCUCUGAGUACAGAUGUGUCCCAGCCUGUUUUAUGUGUCCCACUGAGACAGGAGUGCUGCUCUGUGACGGGAAUGCUCGCCUGGCUGCGGGUCAGUGGGAGACGUUAUGGGCCCAGGGCAGAGGUUAUGGUGGCAGCAGAUGUGGUGGGGUGGCAGAGGAUGGCAGGACCCUUGGCAGAGCAGCAGGGCAGGCAAGCAGAGGGGAAACUUCAGGCACAACGUGAGUGGUGACCCAGAAAGCUGCACAGAACCUGGGCACAGUGUCCUGAGUCCCCCAGAGAACCAGCACACAAAGCCUGAGCACCCUGGCUCUUCAGCUGAUCAUUUACAGGCACCAAGAGAAAGGCCUUUGUUUCACUUGUCGCCAAUAAGCUCUCUGACUCCUUGUGCAAUUAUCAUUAAGAGUGUGCCCAGUGUUUGAAGGAGUAGGCCAUUUAAUUGUAUAAAAGCAAAGGUUUAACCACAAAAGCUGCCAGGCACUCCCACAAUUAUCAUUUAUCAGCCAAACAGAAUGUCCUCGGGUUACGUAUUCAUCAAAUGUUUAUUGAUUUAAGCUUUGGGCAUUUUAAAGGAUUAGAAAUUAUUACUUCUGAUUUAAAUAGUGUUUAGAGGACAGAAAUCAAAUACAAAACAGUGUUUUAUAAAGGAUCAGAUUUUUAAAGAAUUGUACAACAGAAAUAGUAGAGAACAUGAGCCCCUCUUCAGUGCUUUGGAACUAAAAAAAAUGGUCUCUAUAUACAGCAAGUAGCCAAGGAUUUAAGUGGGCCCAUUUUUCACUUCGGGAGAGACUUUGCUCAUCUUCUCUGUGACUCCGUUCAGAGUAGUAGAGGAUAUUAUGUCCCCUGAAAAUCUCUGCAGUUAACAGAUACAUGGGGGGCAGCUUCUCCUGCUCCUUACUCCAGUCUAGUUUCCAGCAGUCUCAUUAUUCAUAAACACCUGAAAAAUGACAAAACUUCUCUGUUUUUAAUUCAAAAUGCAGACAGCAAUCAUGGGCUGGGUAUUUGAACUCUACUGGGACCAGUACUGGGUCACUCAGGAGAAGUACUGUCUAAUUAUGAAGGAAAUCUUCCCACCCAUUUUGGGGGAAGUUGAUCACCGCAGAGGUGCAGCCAUCAGCACGCGGUCUGAAACAGAAAUGAUGCAGGCCUUGGGAGAACAAAACACUCGCAAGCUUUGUCCAGGAUGCAGAUAUAAAUAUAUGAGCUAUUGAACUGUGUCUCUGAAACAGCUUAAUCAGAUCAAACUAAUAAUUCCCUGGACAUGGAGCCAAUCUUUAUGGAGGGCUCAGUGAUGAGGAGUCACACGGGCUGAGGAUGAGCCACUGAACCAGCCCAGGAUGACCCCUGCCACCACGCACACAACUAGCUGUGCCCUGUGCAGCCUGGGUACGCUUUCUGCCUCACCUGCAGCCCUUAUCUUCCCUUAAGGAAAUUCAUUUAAGGGUGUAUUUAUAUAUACAAAAGGCAUUAUCAUUUAACGUUUUACCCUGCCUUUAGAGGCUUGUCCUAUAUGUAGUGUGAAAUUCAUUUAUAGCUGAAGCCUGUUUUGAGUGAAGGGCAUUUUACACAGCAAUUUGUCACUGGCUGAAGAGCCUGGGGCUAGGAGUAGACAUUUACUUACAGAAUCUUUAGACUAUUUUAAACAGGCCUUUGGGACCUCCCUACUGACCAGCCUAUAACAUGCCCUUCUGUAGCAUCUCUCUGUGCUAUUUCUUUUAAUUGACUAACCCCAACACUGGCUGUUCAAAAUCACUUUAACCCAAACAUGCCCCCGGUCUGAAGCUCCUAAUGACCUUCCCCUGGCCCUAAAUACAUACGGCUGAGACAAUGCAAACAUCAUUUGGAAGAUGAGUAAAUUCAAUAACUCAAUUACCACUGCACCAAAAUAACAUUUAUCAAACACUGGCCACAGUGGUUUGUAUCUUUAACUCUCUCUGUUUCAAUGGCAUGGCAUUUGGGUGAAAGUAACUAAUCGAUUUAGGAAUGAUUAAAUAGAAAUUUGUAACACUUGGCAUUAUUAAACCUUCAAUCUUCAUUACAACUGCUUAACAAUUACAUCAUGGGCUGUGUAAAAUAAAUUAACAGUAGCUGGGAACAAUCUUAUCAUAAAUAAAGACAGCAAAGGUAUUAGACUAGUGUUCAAUAGAAAGUCUAAUAGAAAUACAUAUAUUGUGGCAUUAUUGGUAGGUUGUAAAUAAUGAGGCUUGGAGGAGUUUCCAAACUGAAAGAUUUUUAAAUCCCAACUUCCCCUCCUCCAGCUGGUGUCUAACAUUGAACUCAUUUAUUUUAAAAGGUCUAAUUUAGUGGUAGAGCCAGC
ensembl:lncRNA